GUGAAGGAACAAGGGCUUCUACAACACACUCCAUUGGCUGGGUUUAUAAUGUUCUGCCUCACUCUCUCUGCCCUGAAGUGAAGCUGAAUUGUAAAAUAGGGCCAGUCUUAUCUUGGGCAGCCAUGCAACAAUAGUGUCUGGAGAUGAUAACCAGACAAACGCCAGAUGUCAGUCAACAAUUAGCCAACUUUGAGUCCCCUUUGGUAAGGUUUAUCAUGCAGCUUAGAAAAUAAAGAGGGCUGCAACACUGAGUUAAACAACCAAAUUAUUUUGAAAACCUUCGACAGUGACCUUGGAAGGCUUUAAAAGUGCAAAGUUACCAUUGUUUCCAGAAAUGGGAUUUCUGUAGGUAGUAAAGAAUAUUAAGCAACAAAAUGAACAGAAAGCCAAAGGAAGCAGGCGUUCCUGAAGACAGAUAAUAUCACCUUUGAGAUCUUGUGAUGGGCUUGCCUUCUAUGUCAUUCAGAAAGCAACCAACCACAGUGGCUAUGGGAAAGACUGACUGGGUCAUUUGCUUCUGUUACUUUCUGACUACGCUCUUUUGAAAAUUUGUGCCUCGGUUUCCUGUUAAUAAAAUUGAGAUAAUCUA